GACGAACGCUGGCGGCGUGCUUAACACAUGCAAGUCGAACGGAAAGGCCCUGCUUUUGUGGGGUGCUCGAGUGGCGAACGGGUGAGUAACACGUGAGUAACCUGCCCUUGACUUUGGGAUAACUUCAGGAAACUGGGGCUAAUACCGGAUAGGAGCUCCUGCAGCAUGGUGGGGGUUGGAAAGUUUCGGCGGUUGGGGCUGGACGCGCGGCUUAUCAGCUUGUUGGUGGGGUAGUGGCUUACCAAGGCUUUGACGGGUAGCCGGCCUGAGAGGGUGACCGGCCACAUUGGGACUGAGAUACGGCCCAGACUCCUACGGGAGGCAGCAGUGGGGAGUAUUGCACAAUGGGCGGAAGCCUGAUGCAGCAACGCCGCGUGCGGGAUGACGGCCUUCGGGUUGUAAACCGCUUUCGCCUGUGACGAAGCGUGAGUGACGGUAAUGGGUAAAGAAGCACCGGCUAACUACGUG
rnacentral:rRNA from 1 species